rnacentral:rRNA from 1 species
UAAGGAAUAUUGCUCAAUGGGAGAAAUCCUGAAGCAGCAACGCCGCGUGGAGGAUGAAGGGUCUAUGACUUGUAAACUCCUGUAAAGAAGGAAAAAAUUCCCACUAGAUGGGAGAUGAUGGUACUUCUGGAGUAAGCCCCGGCUAACUACGUGCCAGCAGCCGCGGUAAUACGUAGGGGGCAAGCGUUGUCCGGAUUUACUGGGUGUAAUGGGUGCUCAGGCGGAUUUGUAAGUCAGAGGUGAAAUCUUACAGCUUAACUGUGAAACUGCCUUUGAUACUGCAAGCCUAGAGUAUGGAAGAGAGUGAUGGAAUAUCUAGUGUAGCAGUGAAAUGCGUAGAUAUCAGAUAGAACACCAAUGGCGAAGGCAGUCACUUGGUCCAUUACUGACGCUAAAGCACGAAAGCGUGGGUAGCAAAC